GUCCAGCUGACGAGUCCCAAAUAGGACGAAAUGCGCGUCCUGUAU
rnacentral:hammerhead_ribozyme from 1 species